rnacentral:pre_miRNA from 1 species
UAUAAGGGAUUUUGAGUUUUUAUUUACACUCUUUGAUCACUCGUCUUAUUCAAAAAAUUUUGAAAUUAUUAUUUAUUUUUUUAUGACUUGCUUUAUUAUCCAAAGUACUUUAAGCACAACUUUUUGUUUUUUAUAUUUGCACAAAUUUUUUGAAUAAGACGAGUGAUCAAACAGUGUAAGCAAAAACUUAAAAUCCCUUAUA